rnacentral:rRNA from 1 species
ACGGGACCGCACAAGCGGUGGAUGAUGUGGAUUAAUUCGAUGCAACGCGAAAACCUUACUACCCUUGACAUGUCCGGAAUCCCGAAGAGAUUUGGGAGUGCUCGCAAGAGAACCGGAACACAGGUGCUGCAUGGCUGUCGUCAGCCCGUGUCGUGAGAUGUUGGGUUAAGUCCCGCAACGAGCGCAACCCUUGUCAUUAGUUGCCAUCAUUUGGUUGGGCACUCUAAUGAGACUGCCGGUGACAAACCGGAGGAAGGUGGGGAUGACGUCAAGUCCUCAUGGCCCUUAUGGGUAGGGCUUCACACGUCAUACAAUGGUCGGUACAGAGGGUUGCCAACCCGCGAGGGGGAGCUAAUCCCACAAAGCCGAUCGUAGUCCGGAUCGCAGUCUGCAACUCGACUACGUGAAGUCGGAAUCGCUAGUAAUCGCAGAUCAGCAUGCUGCGGUGAAUACGUUCCCGGGUCUU